GCGGCGGUGGCUGCGUUGGUUCCCGCGGCUGCGGCGGGGGGUUGGGGGAUGGGAUGGGAUGGAAUGGCGGCGGGGUCUGCAGGGAAGGGUUGGCCGAGGGGCUUUGAGACCCGCAGAUGAAGAACCGAGGCCGUGCGUAAGAACUUACCUAGCACUGUUGGUUUGGCAAAUAAUUUUUGACCUACUACUGAGUCCUAGACGCAAGUGCUGUGGCACCGCAUAGACGAUCUCAACCGUUGUGGAACUAGGAAAGCAAGCGAGAGGCAAGAGAAAUAAGUAAAAUACAUUGUGUUGGGACGGAAACGUGGAGAGUCGUGGAAAUUUUAAAUGGAGCAGCCAGAGAAGGCGUCCCUGGGAAGAUGUUGGAGUCAAAACAUGAAAGAGCCUUGUUCUUAGUGUGAAGGACCUGAGCCUCUAGGCCUCUUCUCUGUGUUUUGAAAGGGUCUCCAGUUGUUUCAGUUCUCCGAGUGGUCAAGUGCUCCCCUAAGUCAGGGCUCACAGCCUGUCCUUGUUCCUGCCUCCCUCAAGCCUGCUCUUAAUCUUCAGGUCUCAGCCGACAGAAUCACCUCAAGCCUCACCUCCUUUUGAUCACUGCCUCCUUUUUCUUUCCUUCAUGUUUGAGUGCCCUUUUUAUUGUCUGCCUUCUUACCCUCAAUUUAAAUGGCAAAGAUGUGGGGCACCUGGAUGGCUCAGUCAGUUAAGCGUGGGACUCUUGACUUCAGCUCAGGUCAUUAUCUCACGGUGUGUGGAUUCGAGCCCCCCAUCCGGCUCUGUGCUGACAGCUCAGAACCUGGAGCCUGCUUGCUUCACAUUCUGUGUGUCUCCCUCUCUCUGCCCCUACCCUGCUUGUGCUUUGCCUGUCUGUCUGUCUCUCUCUCAAAGAUAAACAUUUAAAAUAAAAUAAAUGGUAAAGAUGUUACCAAUUUAGUCACUAUUGAAUACCUAGCAUUUACAUCUACAUACAGAUAAAUCAUUGUGUUCCGACCGCCCCCUAUGUGAUACUUUAAUUUAAAACAAUUUUUUUUAAUGUUUAUUUUUGAUAGAGAUAGAGCAUGAGCUUGGGAGGGGCAGAGAAAGGGGGAGACACAGAAUCUGAAGCAGGCUUCAGGCUCUGAGCUGUCAGCACAGAGCUCAACACAGGGCUCAAAACUCAUGAGUCAGGAGAUCAGGAGAUCAUGACAUGAGUCGAAGUCAGACACUGAAUCGACUAAGCCACACGGGUGCCCCUAAAUUUUUUAAUUGAAAGAAUAAUGCAGAUGGAUUGCCAAUUAAGUGUGUAUCAUGGCUGCAUUACCUCAUUGCUGCUUUUUUUUUUUUUUUUUUUUUUGGUACGGUUUUCCAAUUUAUUUAGAAAAAUAGACUCUGAAUUCACGUUCACCCCGGGGGCUACGUGGGAUGACAGUAAGGAGACACCUGAAAUGAGCUGAGGAACGUUAAGCACUAGUAUCUGAAGGCUGGGAGCAGAAGCUAGGGACCUGGUCCCUCUAGUUCGGAGUGGGGACCCGGCUCCCCUCUCAUCCUCCCCGUUCAGUAAUCUUCAGCCAUGGCCAGUAGGACAAGGCUGGUCCAGCCCUGGCAACGGGGGCAGCCCAUACCCCACCCAUCCCGGUCACCAUACUGCUCCCCACGACACUUGCAAUAUUGGGUAGACCGUGAGAUCUCAAUGCUGGAGUCCGAAAAGACCUGGACCCAAAACCUGACUCCACUGGUAGUAGCUGGGUGUUGCCAGAAACAUUUACUGGACUCUUCUGCACUUUCCUUUCUUCACCUGUACGAUGGAAACAGUAACAACACUCCCCUCCACAGAUUCCUCAUGAGGAAUCUGUGGAAGCAGGCCACCUGGGAGUUUCCUGAACCUUAGCUCACGAUGUUGAAUCAUGCACAUGAAAUGGGCAAGUGGGGUCUGAAUUUCAGUCUCGUUCCCUCAGGUGGUGUUUCUUAAACGUCCUUGACGUACUAAACACUGAGCUGGUCCCUGGCCUCCAGUGGUACGCUGAGCAGACAGUGUCCUGGUCGUGAUGUGGACAAUCUGUGAGUUCAGACCUUUCCUAUUCCACUGGAAUGGCUCUUCAAGCUCACAGGCACCUGCCUGUUGCUAAAUGCAGGAGUCAAUUCUCAUCUUCACUUUCCCUGACCCUCUGGCAACAGUUGACACGUUACCUCCUUAGAACAUUCUAUUCAUGGGGCACCUGGGUGGGUGGCUCAGUCGGUUGAGCGUCUGACUUCAACUCAGACCAUGAUCUAGUGGUUCACGAGUUCGAGCCCCGCGUCGGGCUCUGUGCUAACAGCUCAGAACCUGCAGACUGCUUUGGAUUCUCUCUCUCUCUCAAAACUAAAUAAACAUUAAAAAUUAAAAAAAAAAAAAAAAAAGACAUUGUAUUCACUCGGCUUCCGACACACCACACCCUUCACACACUUCUGGGUUUCUUCCCAUGCCAAUAGCUGCUCUUUCCCAGGCUCCCUUGUAGCUUCCUCUUCUUCCCACUCACCUCUUGGUAACGAACUACCCCAGGACUUGGUCCCCUAUCUGUAUUCACACCCUUAGCUUCCAGUCUUGUGACCUUAAGAAACCAUCUACAUCCUAGGUAUCUAACCCAAAGGAAUAGAAAAUAGGU